AACUUAUGCCUGAGACAACGCUUGAGUAGUAACUUGUAUUUCUUCUAUGCAUCAUAGAGAUUCUCUCCAUCUUCUUGUUGAAAACCGGAAAUCUCCUUCCUUUUCU
rfam:Medicago truncatula strain A17 chromosome 1, whole genome shotgun sequence.